AGCUGAUACUGUUUUUGUCCACUGCUCAUCAGUCUCAUCUCAGAUUCACCAUGAAGGUCCUCGUCUUCGUUGCUGUUGCCUUUGUCUGCUGUCUGGAGCCAAUGGAGCUGGCUUUCUUGACACCCUCAAGGGUCUUGGGACUAGCAUCGGUGACCUCUUCAAAACCUCUUCAACGAUCUGAAGACUCCACUAGCAAACGUUACCAACGCCUUAGUGGAAAGCCUGAAGACUGCGGGUACACAGCUGCUAGCCACUGGAGCUCAGAGUCUCCUAGGCUCGCUCGCUAAUGUCGGCAAAGGGAAGUGAGCCUCUUGACUGGAGUCAGCAAGUUCGUCACUGAGAGGCAAAAGUCUGUCGUCGCCAAGCUGUCGGACCCUCUUGAGCUCCCUGUACCACUCCGCCAUGACAGCCCUCACUGGCAUCGCCCCAGAGGAUCACCAGCAUGGACUUCCUCAAGGAUGACCUGUCCACGAUCCUCACCAGAGCAUUGCCG